UUCCAAACUAUUCCAAAGUAAUCGAAGACAAUUUAAAAACGUCAUCUUUUAAUCUUUUGUUUUGAAAACGUCAAACAAUUUUUAAAAUGUACAUUUAUCAGAGCCGUUACUCAACGUAAAUACUUACAAUAAAUUGCGAUGUUUUCAGUGUUAUAGCAGGCAGAAACUUUACUUUGUUACUUUAAUGAAUUAUGGAAAGAGAUGGGAAUAACAAAACAAGUGAUGUGGGGACUUCUGACGAUGCUGACUCCCGUGGCGCAGUAAACGCUCUAAUACUCGAUUAUUACAAAAAGUUCGGCAGAAAAAGGGAUCUGGAGCAGUAUUUCUCACUAUCGACUGCUCAAAGUGAUAUUAAAGACACUAGUGGCGUGUUUUGGCGUAAAAUGAAAAGUGAAAACGACUCGUCUGAUUCUGGUGGCAGGAAGAGCGACUCUUCGCAUGAAGUUUGUCGAAUCUCCAUAAGAUGUGCGGUGCCCGAACAAUCUAGUUCACAGGAAGAUGAGCCACAACCAAAAAGUGACUCUCCCCAAACUCAGUCUCCACCGAUAAUCAUCGAGGAAAUGCCCGCCAAUGUGUCCCGUCACACUGACGAUGACUCCUUCAACUAUGAUGAUAAUAAUUCUCAUAAAUCAUUAGAUGUGUUGUUAGACUUAUCGGCACACAAACCACAUUCCCCUACCAGUAGUAUCACUUCUCAACGGAAACUAGAAUGGGACUCCCUGGCAGAUGUCGGGUAUGCUAACGAAAGUGACCGUAAAACAUCAGCUUCAAGUCUCAGCACUUUAGAGAGACUAGCUUUAAAACAACAAUACACAAACAAUGACACUAAACAAGAUAUAGGACCUCCUACUGCACAUUCCACACCUUUGGAUGAAAACGACAGCAAAUCUAAAGGAAAAAAAGGUAUAGGAAAGAAAACUACAAAGAUAUACAAGAAAGAUGUUGAUUUUGUUGAAGUUAAUGUACCACACACUUCAGAUACAGGUCAUCCUCCGUCUAUCAAUGUUAAUCUUACUAAACAUAUAUCUUUUAAUGUGGAACGGGAUGGUGGGGUUACAGUUGAUAAUGUUAAAAACGACAUUAGCGUAUCUCCUGAAAAAGUGCCCUUAGACAAUGAUCCUGCUCCAAGUUUGGGUUCGGAUAAACAAAUGCAAACUUCAUUGACCAAAGAAAAAUCACCCAGUGUGGAUGAAAUACCUAAGGCGGUUAAUCCGUACAAUCAAAAGAUCCCCAUAAUGAUCUGUUUGAACACAUUGCGCAAGAGAUUGAGAAGGAAGAAAUCAAAGAAUUUGAGACGAAAAUUAAGAAUAAAAAAAUCGACUGUAUCAAAUAUAGAACUUCCAUCUUUAGAGAAGAGUGGCGAGCAGGUGUCUGAAGCAGAGAGUUUUGAAUAUAUGCCUGGACAUAUGUAUAAUCAGAAUCAGAAUCAAAUGAAGGACAGUGGACGAAGACCUGACAAUAGCACAGCCGGUAACAAGUCCAGUUUAGAAUCCACUGGUCCGUCUACUACAGAGUCCAGCAAAGGAUCAAAGCACUCUCUUACAAAAGAUCUAGAAAAGUGUGUUGACUUAUUGAAGGUUACUUUGCAAGACCCUGAUAACGACGGCACUACAAAGAAAAGGUUAAUCAAAGACAUAGUGCACAGAUUAGUUAAUGCAAAGUAUAGAGAUGACGAUACUCCCACCGAAUUUUUAUCUGGAAUCAGUUUUAACAGUAAGAUAAUAGGUGUACCAGAAAAUGUCACUACAACAAGUACAUCAGAUGCUAAUGCUACUGAAAAUUAUUCCAACAAAAAGCCAAAGAAGUCUAUUUUGAGGAACGAUAAAUUUAAUCCUAAUGCAGUUGCUUCUACAUCGCAAAGUGCACCAAACCUGUUCAGUGGUAGAAGUGAGAAAGUGAGUACUAAUUUAAUGAAGACAAUGCACUCUACUGACUCGGAUGUGUCUAGUAGAGGAAAGACAUCUUCGGAAAACGCAUUCCCUAAAACCUCAUCUGAAGAAUUGUAUCUCAAAUAUCUGGAAGCUCUAAGGCGCGAAGAGGCGUACAAAAGACAUUUAAAAGAUAAAGAAUUGUUCUUGAAGCAGAAGUUGGUAAGUUCGGAAACUGCAUUCAAAGUACCUAUACGUACAGAGUCCAAAAUUAGCAGCAGACUGAAAGAUUUGAUGAAAGACUUGACUAGGAAUAAUUAUGAUGAUGGGUCAGGUGACGCUAGCAAAUUAGAGGGAGGUUCCUCUAACAUGAACUUUGAGACGUUAAAUGCAAUCAGAAAUCAAAGAAGUCACUCUGUAUUUACUCUUUCCUCAAGUCAUUCGGAAUGCCAGAAACGGCCGAAUUUGAAGAAAAAGAUGCAGACCGAAAGAGAGGUAGAUGAAGCCGGUCCAAGUAAACAUCAUUACUGUUGCUGCCCCCACCAUUAUUUAAACUCUAAGGUGGCUUACAGUGACAGCUCUGUGCAGGUGAACAUAAAAUCGUGUGAGGAUACUACGAACGAAAAACCUUGUCAAACGAAACCCAAGCCAAUAACGGUAAUUGAGAACAGGAAAAAAGCUGAGUCUCCAAGAAGCGCUCGAGUGGUUCCGGACAGCGUGACGGGUGAAAUUAAAUACGUUUGUCUUUGUAAUGGGAGGCAAGUCUCUUGUUCAGAUGUUGGUGAUAGUUUCAUGAUUUACAAGUGCUCUAAGUUAACCAACCGUGGAGUGCAGCUCGAGGACCCAUCAAGGCUGUACAAUACAGGUGUGCAAUGUGGAAGUGUGAAGCAAAAAAAGAUUGACGAUAAAAUUGAGCUGAUACAAUCACCCUGCCAAAUAAACACAGAAAGCAGUAGUUCUGAUAACACUUCGAAAGCUAGGAGACAUUCAAAGUCAUCCCAAACUAAUAUGGUUGUCAAUAUGUGUAUGGGUUAUGGCAGAUACUGUAAUUCCUCUUCUAGCUCUGAUGCUAAGAACCUCUGUGGAACUUCAACUAAAUGUAUUGUGUCGGUAAAUAGUCCGAAAGAAUAUGCGACCGUCCACGAGGCUACCAGAUGCCUACAAACUGAGAUCAGUAUUAACCCUCAAAUUUCUGAUCCCACGUUAUCUGAUAUCAAUAUAAUAAAUGACUGCGAUUGCGCGCAAUUGAUAUCAGAGAUGCGAAAAAAGAUCCACAAGUCGGAUUCCGCAAAAACUUUUACCGACGUGUGCACCAAUAGCGUCUCAGAAAAGCUUCUUAUUACAUCUGAAGGGAGUGGGUCUGCACAAGAAGUGAAGACUUUUAACUCAAUAGACGAUAAAGAGUCGCACUUACUAUGUACUGUAGCUGGAAGAAAAUAUCAUCUACCUAUUCUAGACACGAAUAUGACUCUCACUCUCAACUUGGAGGAAGCUAAUCGUUUUAAAGAUCCUGAGUAUGUGAACCAAGGCAUCGGCACAGAAAAGGUAUCGAAUAUAGAUGAAGCUAUAUCGGUUAAUGAGGAAUGCAAAUCUACACAAUGUACGUGCGAGUACUGCCCCAAUCAAAGUAAUAAGAGGGUCGUCUGUGUGAAAGAUGCAUCUGUUUCUAUUAAAAGUUGUAUGUUAGCAAAGAAGAACAAUAAUUUCAAUACAUUUCCGAAAAAGGAAGCAGUACCUAAAGAAAAAACACCAUUUAAAAGAUCGAACACAGAUGAAGGUAAACUAUCAAUAUGUUCAUGCAUUCAAACUGUAACGGUACCGAUGAGGGACGCCCAAACGUAUAAUAAUCAACCUGAUGAUAGCAAUUAUGCGUUAGAGACGCAAGUCUCUACUGCCGAAAAUGGUUGCCAAGCAGACCCGAUCAAGGAAAAUGUUUCAACUGAAGUCAGUGAACAAUCGGAUAAGGCAACGCCUACCAGCAGCCAACAUCAACAUGAAAAUGUUGUCGUGUUCAACAUCAAAACUGACAAAAUAGAUGAUGCAAUCAAACCUGACUCAAAAAACUUUGGAAACCGAAAAGAUUUAACAUUUGAACGUAAAGACUUAAGAGGAAGUUUUGAUGCAAUUAAACCUGACUCAAAAAACAUUGGAAACCGAAAAGAUUUAACACUUGAACGUGCAGAAGUUAUAGGAAAUUUUGAUGCAAUCAAAACCGACUCUAAAAACAUUGGAAGCCGAAAAGAUUCAACACUUGAACGUGCAGAUGAUAGAGCUAAAGACGCUAGAAGAAAUUUUGAUACAAUCCAAAGUGACUCUAAAAACAUUGGAAGCCGAAAAGAUUCAACACUUGAACGUGCAGAAGUUAGAGCUAAAGACGCUAGAAGAAAUUUCGAUGCAAUACAAACUGACUCUAAAAACAUUGGAAGCCGAAAAGAUUUAACACUUGAACGUUCAGAAGUGAGAGCUAAAGAAGUUAGAGGAAAUUUUGAUGCAAUCCAAACUGACUCUAAAAACAUUGGAAGCCGAAAAGAUUUAGAACUUGAACGUGCAGAAGGGAGAGCUGAAGAAGUUAGAGGCAAUUUUGAUGCAAUACAAACUGACUCUAAAAACAUUGGAAGCCAAAAAGAUUUAACACUUGAACGUGCAGAUGAUAGAGCUAAAGACGUUAGAGGAAAUUUAAAGGAUAUUGAUAUUAAAACGUCUAACGUUAGUACCAAGAGUAUCGGUGUAGUGACUAUGGAUGAGAAAAAAGUCGAUGGUAGUAGCAUAGCAUGUCAAACAGAUGCCCCAACAAAUGAAAAGCAGUUUGGAAAUUCUGAAAUUAAAAUAGACUCACGAGAAAAUAGUAAUAAUAAUAUACUACGACAAGAAACAUGCUGCUACCAAGUCAAUUGUCCAAAAAAUAAUGUCAAAGGUCCAGUCAUUGAAAUGAUACAAGAUAUCACUCGACGCUACUCAAAAACCGAUUUAGGCAAGGUUAAAAAGAAGAAAUGUGUCUCAGAAAUAAUGACUGUUCUGAAUUACCUUCUUGAGACAGAAGACAGUACAGAUCCAGAACCAAAGACAUGUUGCAGCACAACUACGACUACUAAAUCGAGUUCGGAAAAGUCCAAAACGACCAAAAUGUCUGUGGGCGAAUGCGUUUCAGACAGAUUUGUCGAUAAAAGUGUCCAACUUUCUUGUAAGAAAGCUUGUAAGGACAAUAACGUUGGCACCGAGUCGUCCGACUUGCCUUGCUCCUCAGAUCAGCCUACGACAUCCUCGGAUUCUGCCGCUUGUAGAGUGCUCAACAAAAUUAAGAAGGAAUGUGAGAAAUACCACCAGAAGGUCAAAUGCAAGGGCAGAAAAUGCGAAGUUUCUAGCAGCACAUCAGUCAACUGCGAAAAAUGCAAGAAAGUGCAUCAUUGUGCUUGCAGAUACCACAAGUGUAAGCGAUCUAAGACAUUUGAGAAGUUGCAGAAGAAAUGCAUUGCUUACAACCUGAUUAUUCAGACAUCAGAGAGUAUGUUGAGCGAGGAGACAGUUUGCGAGAACAAGAGUCGUGCUCUUAAAAAUAUCAUUGUGAAAGUCCCGAAACGUAAAGGAAAGAACGAGGUUCCUUAUAAAACGGAGUUUAUAUCGCCUCCCUGUAGCCCAAAACGUAGUCCUCGUGGUUGCAAUAAGUCAAAAAGUGGUCCCAUUGAGAGUGAGACUUCUGAAGAGUAUGCUAGAAGAGUUGAGCUGGCCACGGUUCGGGAGUACUUGGAGCAGAAUCGUCCAGAUUUCGUGCAGAACACAGAGGAGAGACGGCAUUGCUUGAAGUUUAUUAGUGCAAAGAGAACUCAAGAUCAAUUCGCUCCAAGUUUGAAAAUGGUUGUUGUACACAAACCUAGGUGCAUGGGAAAUGUGGCGACCAGCCCAGUUUAUUGUGGAGGUUUGUGCUACAAAAGUUGCGAUUCGGUCGAACCUUGUAUUCCCUAUGCACGGGAGCCAUGCCCCCCUUGCAGUCCGCACUUAGAUCCUUGCAAUCCUUGCACGCCUUGUAAACCUUACGAUCAAAAUCUUUGCAACACCGAUUCCGACCCUUGCAAUGGCUGUCGCGAUCCUUGUAACAUGUGUUCGGUAAAUAAAUUUGAGCCGACGAGCGUGCUUCCAAACGGAACCUGCUAUCAUUGCACGUGGAACAACAGCCCGACUUAACCAGUCUCAACUCCGAUGAACUGCGACAACUGGCACAAAAGAUAGGACUCGACUUGCGAAAGAAAAAACCUGCCCCAAAAUUUUUAAGUGAACGCGAAAUGAAGAAGCACUCUGAAAGGAUAUACAAAACGUUGCCAGAAGUAGUUCAAAAGAAAGAGGAGAAGAAAAAGGAAAAUAUCAAGAAGACCAAUUUGUUGAUGGCCAAUAUG